rnacentral:rRNA from 1 species
AGGAUGAACGCUGGCGGCGUGCCUAACACAUGCAAGUCGAACGUCCUGUCUCGCAAGAGGCAGGGAGUGGCGGACGGGUGAGUACCACGUGGGUCAUCUACCGUGAGGUGAGGAAUACCGGCGAGAAAUCGCCGACAAGACCGCAUAGGCUCGAUGCAAGUCGAGCAAAGCUCUUUCGAGAGAGGGAGCGCCACACGAGGAGCCUGCGCCCGAUUAGCUAGCUGGUGGAGUAACGGUUCACCAGGGCGACGAUCGGUAGCUGGUCUGAGAGGACGAUCAGCCACACUGGGAUUGAGAACGGCCCAGACUCCUACGGGGGGCAGCAGUGAGGAAUUUCGUCAAUGGGGGCAACCCUGAACGAGCAACGCCGCGUGCAGGAAGAAGGUUUCGGAUCGUAAACUGCUUUUCUCGGGGAAGAGGAACGGACGGUACCCGAGGAAUCAGCCCGGCUAACUACGCGCCAGCAGCCGCGU